rnacentral:rRNA from 1 species
AACGAACGCUGGCGGCAGGCCUAACACAUGCAAGUCGAGCGCCCUUUCGGGGGAGCGGCGGACGGGUGAGUAACGCGUGGGAAUAUGCCCUUCUCUACGUAAUAGCCUCGGGAAACUGAGAGUAAUACCGUAUACGCCCUGUGGGGGAAAGAUUUAUCGGGGAAGGAUUAGCCCGCGUUGGAUUAGGUAGUUGGUGGGGUAAUGGCCUACCAAGCCGACGAUCCAUAGCUGGUUUGAGAGGAUGAUCAGCCACACUGGGACUGAGACACGGCCCAGACUCCUACGGGAGGCAGCAGUGGGGAAUCUUAGACAAUGGGGGCAACCCUGAUCUAGCCAUGCCGCGUGAGUGAUGAAGGCCUUAGGGUUGUAAAGCUCUUUCAGCUGGGAAGAUAAUGACGGUACCAGCAGAAGAAGCCCCGGCUAACUCCGUG